UACGUAGGGUGCGAGCGUUAAUCGGAAUUACUGGGCGUAAAGCGUGCGCAGGCGGUUUUGUAGCCAGAUGUGAAAUCCCCGGGCUUAACCUGGGAACUGCAUUUGUGACUGCACGGCUGGAGUGCGGCAGAGGGGGAUGGAAUUCCGCGUGUAGCAGUGAAAUGCGUAGAUAUCUGGAGGAACACCGGUGGCGAAGGCGGCAUCCUGGACCGACACUGACGCUGAGGAGCGAAAGCCAGGGGAGCAAACGGG
rnacentral:rRNA from 1 species